UCAUCUUCUCCAGAUGUUAACUGACGUGGAUUGGAGUGUUGUGGAUUAUUGUGAUGUUUUUAUCAGCUGUUUGGACUCUCAUUCUGACGGCACCCAUUCACUGCAGAGGAGACACUGAUGCAGUUCUACAUUUCUCCAUGAGCAAACAAACUUACUGUUAUUGCACUCAUCAGAAAUGUAUGUUUGUGGUAAUUCCAGCAAUUUCAGAUUGACUACUUUUUUAUUGUUGGUUUCAAACGUACACUAAGGUUCCUUUAUUGAAGUAAACUCUCCCAGGUUUCCACUCUUUGUGCUUGGGUUUUUAGGUUUAUAUCGUCUAGUCCAGUGGUUCAUGGAGGAAUAAAGAUCCAGUGAUGUCCACUUCACAGGGUCCUCCACAGUCGAAUAGAACAACAUCUGAAGUCACACUCAAAGCUAGCGUUUCUUAUCUUGAGUUUAGCUGCUGAUUUUCACACGAGUGGUACAAGAAUCAUCCCAAGAGCUGCAUCUACUGUACUACUGUCGUGUAAUUUACGAUACGUCUGUUACCCAGAAACCCCUUGACCUUUCCGUGAAAUUACCAGUAGGGUGAUCCCCUUCACUUCUACCUCUCAGUAUUUGUCUCUAGCUGUUUUAAUGCCAACGGAUGCAACAGAAGAGUCAUAACCUGCCAGUUUUAUUCCCUCUUAAAGUUUUAUUUGGCGUCAGAGUUUUCUUGGCAUUGAUGCUUCCUUAGAGACCCUUUAACAUCAAUGGAAUCUCUCCAUUCCACAAAAAGCUCUUUAUAAUGAAAAUGAAAUACUAUAACUGAGUAAGAAAAAUAAUUGAAAGGUUCUUCGGGGAAUCAAAUAUGGUUUCUCAAUGGCGCCCCCUUUUGAAACCUUUAUUUUUAAGAGUUUAUUGUAUUACGUCGUAGACUUUGAAAGUCAUUAUUUUGUCAGUUCACGAUGAAAAAACUCGACCAACUAUCCAACCCAGUAUUACACACGUCAAACAACUCGUUAAACUGGUUUCCGGCUGAUGUUGAGCUCAUUUCAGUCUUCAAUGGGAGACACUGGAACAUUGAAAUGUGAUGAAUUGAACUGAAUUGGAGUUGUGAACUUGAAAUGAUAACGAACUUAUGAGUGAUUGAUCUCCAGACCGCUGGUUGAUUGUUCAGUUGACAAAACACUGAAAAUAGUCUUGUUUUCCACUCACAAUAAUUCAAAAAUGGUUUCUACCCAAACUCAACUCUAUUGGCUUGGGGAUGUCGAGUCGUUCCUUGACCGCCUGGUUUAAUUUAUUGACCUUUGUUUAGUUGAUGAUGCUUUUGUGAAGCACAACUUGUGGUUGCCGUCUUUAAAUGUCUUUGCGUAAUGGUUUUCAGCCAAACUUGCGAACAAAUCGAAUGGAUGUUGAGUUUCGCAGCUCAAUUCUACAGCAGAGUUGAUGUGAUUUAUACAUUAGUUGCGUGUUCUUUUGGUUUUAUAUAUUUCACACGGACAAUAUUUCACAUUAUGAUGCCAGAACAUAUUUUUUCCAAUUUAAGUCAACAUAUAGUGGUUUGCAACCCUUUUUACUUGAGAAUGUGAUGUGUUUCGGAGUGAAAAUGGAUAUUUAUUGUGUAUUGGAUUGUGAAAAGGAUCCGAUUGUGUAAAUAUGUUUUUUAUUAACCAAUAACCUGAGCCGCAUGGACUUAAAAGUCGUUAUAUGUGCGUUUCAAGUUAUUGUGCGUUGGCGAAAGAGUACGAACAUUGUAAUAAUGUGAAUUGUUAGAGUAGCCAAAAAAUGAUUUCAGUAUUUUUUGUCUUGUUUUCCAGUGCAAAUAUCAUUUGCUUGAGAAGCAACGUAAAAUAUUAAGUCUUGUUUUGGAGUAAAAAUGAGUUUUUGCUUCAUAUAAGAAAAAAAAUGCCAGUGGGGUCAGAUUUUUUUUUUUUUUUACGUUUAUUUUUCUGAUACCAUUGGCAGAUAUUUUUCUUGUUUUAAGAAAAAAACACGCUCAAUUGAAUAAAGACUUAUGCAUAUUGCUUCUAAAGUAAAUAUAUCUUAAUUUAAAAGUGUUUCGUACUGGGGAAAAAAAGACAAAAUACUAGCUAAGAAAAUCAUUUUUGCAAUGCAUUCAGAAAGUAAAUAGUCAGUUUUGACAUUAUGUUGACUUUAAAGAAAAAACAACCCAAUGUUUUAUUGCAUAUUAAAUUUACAUCUACUUCAAAUGGCAAGAUCCCCCCCAAAAUGACGUAAAAGGGUUGCCUUCACAACGUUAAAUUAAUUAAAAGUGCCUUCUGUAUGUCCACUGGGCCUUUAAGUUUAGCAUGAUUCACAACAAGUCUGUCUGCUUGCCUCUUUUUGGGAAAAUUAAGACCGAGAUUGAUGACCACUGAAAUAUUUGCGGUGUUAUUAUCUCAUAACUCACCUUUACAAAAGCAAAAACUGUAACCCUAAAUCAUUUGGUUGUUCCUUGUAUCUCAUGUAUGUAUUAUUUUAGACUCAUAUUUUCGUACAAUGUGAGUUUCAGAUAGUGAAUAAAUAGCUUUUUGUUGUUCUUAUUAUUUCCUGAUGUAACUGUCGGGGCGUCUUGAUGACGACGAGCCCCCGUUAACGUUCUAGAUAUUUUAGGAGACGUGAGAAACGGAUGGAUUUUUAUUUCCAAUCGUACCUUUUUAGGGUAUUUUGUUUGUGGAGAGUAAACUUUGUUUCGGUUUGCUUCUGUAUUUGCCAAAUGAGUAAAAAAAUGCUGUAUUUUCUUACAUGGGUGCCGUGUUUGGGAGGAUUCUGUGUCUGGGAAUCAGCUGCAGUGAACAUGAACACGUGUCUUUGUUUUGUGGAUAUGAUCUGCCAUUAAAACAUUCCCCUUGA